UAAUGCCGGAUGCUCCAGUUGAUCGCAUGGUCUUCUGGGAAAGCUUUCGCGGUAUGGGAUGGGGUCGCGUCCUAUCAGCUUGACGGCGGGGUAACGGCCCACCGUGGCUUCGACGGGUAGCCGGCCUGAGAGGGCGACCGGCCACAUUGGGACUGAGAUACGGCCCAGACUCCUACGGGAGGCAGCAGUGGGGAAUAUUGCACAAUGGGCGCAAGCCUGAUGCAGCGACGCCGCGUGAGGGAUGGAGGCCUUCGGGUUGUAAACCUCUUUUAUCGGGGAGCAAGCGAGAGUGAGUUUACCCGUUGAAUAAGCACCGGCUAACUACGUGCCAGCAGCCGCGGUAAUACGUAGGGUGCAAGCGUUAUCCGGAAUUAUUGGGCGUAAAGGGCUCGUAGGCGGUUCGUCGCGUCCGGUGUGAAAGUCCAUCGCUUAACGGUGGAUCCGCGCCGGGUACGGGCGGGCUUGAGUGCGGUAGGGGAGACUGGAAUUCCCGGUGUAACGGUGGAAUGUGUAGAUAUCGGA
rnacentral:rRNA from 1 species